rnacentral:tRNA from 1 species
GAGGGUAUAGCUCAGUGGUAAGAGUUCAUGCUUAGCAUGCAAAGGUCCUGGGUUCAAUUCCCAGUACCUCUA